rnacentral:rRNA from 1 species
AAUGAACGCUGGCGGCAUGCCUAACACAUGCAAGUCGAACGAAGGCUUCGGCCUUAGUGGCGCACGGGUGCGUCACGCGUGGGAAUCUGCCCUUGGGUUCGGAAUAACAGUUAGAAAUGACUGCUAAUACCGGAUGAUGUCGUAAGACCAAAGAUUUAUCGCCCAAGGAUGGGCCCGCGUAGGAUUAGCUAGUUGGUGGGGUAAAGGCCUACCAAGGCGACGAUCCUUAGCUGGUCUGAGAGGAUGAUCAGCCACACUGGGACUGAGACACGGCCCAGACUCCUACGGGAGGCAGCAGUGGGGAAUAUUGGACAAUGGGCGAAAGCCUGAUCCAGCAAUGCCGCGUGAGUGAUGAAGGCCUUAGGGUUGUAAAGCUCUUUUACCCGGGAUGAUAAUGACAGUACCGGGAGAAUAAGCGCCGGCUAACUUCGUG